rnacentral:rRNA from 1 species
UACGGGGGGGAGCAAGCGUUGUUCGGAUUUACUGGGCGUAAAGGGCGCGUAGGCGGCCAGCACAAGUCAGUUGUGAAAUCUCCGGGCUUAACUCGGAAAGGUCAACUGAUACUGUGCGGCUAGAGUGCGGAAGGGGCAACUGGAAUUCUCGAUGUAGCGGUGAAAUGCGCAGAUAUCAGGAGGAAUACCAGCGGCGAAGGCGGCGCUCUGGGCCGGUACUGACGCUGAGGAGCGAAAAGCGUGGGGAGCAAACAGG